rnacentral:rRNA from 1 species
AUUGAACGCUGGCGGCAGGCCUAACACAUGCAAGUCGAACGAGUGGCGGACGGGUGAGUAAUGGCUGGGAAACUGCCUGAGGGAGAGGGAUAACUACUGGAAACGGUAGCUAAUACCGCAUACCAUCAGAUGUGCCCAGAUGGGAUUAGCUAGUUGGUGGGGUAACGGCUAACCAAGUUGACGAUCCAUAGCUUGGCUGAGAGGAGGACCAGCCACACUGGAACUGAGACACGGUCCAGACUCCUACGGGAGGUAGUCGUGGGGAAUAUUGCACAAUGGGCGCAAGCUUGAUGGAGCCAUGCCGCGUGUAUGAAGCAGGCCUGCGGGUUGUAAAGUACUUUCAGCGGGGAGGCGUUACCCGCAGAAGAAGCACCGGCUAACUCCGUGCCAGCCGCCGCGGUAAUAC